rnacentral:tRNA from 1 species
UUCCUGGUGGCUCAGACGGUAAAGUGUCUGUCUGCAAUGCAGGAGACCCGGGUUCGAUCCUUGGCUUGGGAA